rnacentral:rRNA from 1 species
GAUGAACGCUGGCGGCGUGCCUAAUACAUGCAAGUCGAGCGAACGGACGAGAAGCUUGCUUCUCUGAUGUUAGCGGCGGACGGGUGAGUAACACGUGGAUAACCUACCUAUAAGACUGGGAUAACUUCGGGAAACCGGGGCUAAUACCGGAUAAUAUUUUGAACCGCAUGGUUCAAAAGUGAAAGACGGUCUUGCUGUCACUUAUAGAUGGAUCCGCGCUGCAUUAGCUAGUUGGUAAGGUAACGGCUUACCAAGGCAACGAUGCAUAGCCGACCUGAGAGGGUGAUCAGCCACACUGGAACUGAGACACGGUCCAGACUCCUACGGGAGGCAGCAGUAGGGAAUCUUCCGCAAUGGGCGAAAGCCUGACGGAGCAACGCCGCGUGAGUGAUGAAGGUCUUCGGAUCGUAAAACUCUGUUAUUAGGGAAGAACAUAUGUGUAAGUAACUGUGCACAUCUUGACGGUACCUAAUCAGAAAGCCACGGCUAACUACGUG